rnacentral:lncRNA from 1 species
GUUUUGUGUUAUAUGCAUGCUUCGUUUAAGCUGUCGUUCAAGGAUUUGGCGUGUGAAAUACCACAGAGGCUUAGAUACAGGUUCACAUGCUGCUAGACCUGCAGAACCGGAUGACCCCACUGUGACUGCUGCGAAAGCCACAGCGAAGGCCCUGUUGCCGGUCCCUGCCCAGCUGCUCGCCAUUGCCCCAGAGCUCGGGAUAAGAGAGCAGGAGCCCGAUGUGGUGAAACAAAGUAUGACAGUAGUGCUCUUAUACCUCCAGUGUAUCUCACAUAAAUAUCAGUUUCAUUCUGAUUAAUCACAUUUUCAUUCAUUUAUAUAUAGUGCUCAUGUUUUGUUACAACCUUUUUCCAAAGCACACAGAAAGGCAGUCUCCCGCAGUCCUUUGGAGUCUGUGAUAAGAGCAGGUCCAUCUCUUCCUAAAACAGGGUUUCCCCAGGUUUGAUCAACCCAAAUUUAAGACUUUUUUUAGACUUUUUUAAGACCACUUCAAUGAAAAUUAAGACCUACAUCGCACCCAUUAAGCAGUCGUAAAACGCAGUCGUGCAUAUGUUAUUCAUGUUUUUUUGGAACAUAUGAAACAUUCAUGUCAAUACAUUAAUGAAUGUGCCAAAGGAUAAGUGUGCACUCACCAAUCAAAGAGCCAAACUGAGGGCCUAACUCAAAGUCUAGAGGCCUGAUGUCUAUUAAGACCAUGUACCCAGAUUAAAAAAACAAUACACAAAGUGAUGGUGUGAAAGUGUAGCUGUAUUUUUGGUUUAAAUAUCAAACUUUCAACACACAAUAUAAAAUAUAAACAAACAAACUCUUUUCAAAUUGCUGUAAUUUCUCAGCAUUCAAAUUUCCUCAACCAUUUCAAUGAAUCCACCACUUGCCUCGUUGACCUCUUUUACUAACUCCUUCGUAAUGUAUGGAGCCAGCCCGAACCAUAACCCUAAUCCGUCCACAGACAUGGUGACUAAUGUAUGAUAGUAAGCAUUAUAGGCCCUUAACACUAAUAUUCGGAAACAACACUGCCUCAAAAGGAUAUUGGCCUAAGCAACACCAGUAGAGGCUAUACUUUUCCCUGAACUUUUAAACGUUGCAAACGUGCAAAAACAUAAUUAUAUAUUUAUGUGGCAUUCAGUCCAAUGCUUAAAAUAUAUCUGUGGCAUUCAGUCGGC